CCUAGGGCAAACCAGGCUGCGUCCGCUCGGCGGACACCACCACCCGCGGGAGGCGGGGCUCGAUCCGUUCAUCGACGCGUCAGCCCCGUCCGCGACGCCCGCGACACCCUGGAUGCGCGGAGGCGUUCCCACGCAGAUAGGGAGGACGGGGUAGAUCACGGCUACCACGUCCACCGCGGCGGGCGCUACGACAGCGAGGAGGACCGCAGCCCGAGCCCCGAUCCGGCGGGGCCCCGGGCCUUCUCUGCACGCGUCCUGAACGCGCCUUUUCCGCCGCGCUUCAGGCAACCGACGAAUG
rnacentral:lncRNA from 1 species